rnacentral:sRNA from 1 species
UGUCUAAGGGUAUAUACAUGGCUCAUAUC